UACGAAGGGUGCAAACGUUGCUCGGAAUUACUGGGCGUAAAGGGCGCGUAGGCGGCCUCGUCCGUCCGGCGUGAAAUGCCUGGGCUCAACCUAGGAAUUGCGCUCGAUACAGCGAGGCUAGAGUGUGGGAGAGGUUGGUGGAAUUCCCAGUGUAGAGGUGAAAUUCGUAGAUAUUGGGAAGAACACCGGUGGCGAAGGCGGCGACCUGGUCCGAUACUGACGCUGAGGCGCGAAAGCGUGGGGAGCAAACAGG
rnacentral:rRNA from 1 species